AUCACGAUGAGACUUCCCGGGUGUCCUGGACAUCAUCAUCAACCUCCGUAGUAGACGGUACCUCCGUUCAUGAGUCAAGCACAGGAGAGAUCACGUUGACUCCUACGGCAGUUUUGAUUAUUUCUAAUAACAUCCGAGACUCCCACAGAUUAGUAUAUCUAAGUUUUUUAUCCUUAUUAUCCAUUCCUAUUGCUGUAGUGCUUGUCCUGCUUUUUAAAUAUUAUAAGCGCACGCAUCGUCCUACACGCUCUGCAUCAAUACAAUUAGAGACUAUAUGUAAAUCAACUACAGUUUAACUUCAUUCA